rnacentral:rRNA from 1 species
GAGAACCCCGUUAAACCCUUGACCUUGUUGCUAUGUGAUCGUUUUCCAAGAGUCGGAUUGUUUGGGAUUGCAGUCCAAAAUGGGAGGUAAAUUUCUUCUAAGCUAAAUCUGGCGAGAGACCGAUAGCGAACAAGUCCGUGAGGGGAAAGAUGAAAAGAACUUUUGAAAAGAGAGUUAAAUAGUCGUGAAAUUUGUCAAAAGGGAAAGGCUUGAAACCAGUCAUGCCGUUUUGGUAUUCAGCAGGUCGCUCUGACCUUGUGCUCCUUACCAGAAUGGCAGGUCAACGCAAGGUUUCUUUCGCAAGUGGAAAAAGCAGAGGGGCCUUCGGCUCCUGAAAGUUAUGCCUGUGUGGGGGAGACUGAGGACCUGCAAGGGCGCAUUUGGGCUACCCCGAGUAAAGUGGAAUGCUUUUUCAAGCAAGACCUGGCAUUGCCAGGACAUGUUUGGAAAAGUACUAAAGCUUUUUCUUGGCUAAUGUUCACCCACCGGCCCCUUAAGGCCCGUUUGGCCAAAAUUGGUUUUUAAAACCCCCCCCGUCCCUUAAAACCACCGGCUCAAAGGAAGUUCUUAACUAUAUUACUGCGAAGUAUUUUGGGUUGGCAAAACCCACUAUNGCCGUAAAUGAAAAGUGANUNCAAGGUUGGGANNCUUCUGGCNGCAACCAUCAGNCCNGGUCUGGAUAUUUUAAUUNAUACAUCUUANGUAANGANGCAUANUUCUGUUAGGGGCCCGNAAANAUAGGUNNNGCUANUGCCU